UGGGGAAUUUUGCGCAAUGGGGGAAACCCUGACGCAGCAACGCCGCGUGAGUGAUGAAGGCCUUCGGGUCGUAAAGCUCUGUUAGAGGGGAAGAAAUGCAGGGGUGUUAAUAUCAUCUUUGCCUGACGGUAACCUCAUAGAAAGCACCGGCUAACUCCGUCCCAGCAGCCGCGUUAAUACGGAGGGUGCGUGCGUUGUUCGGAAUCAUUGGGCGUAAAGCGCGUG
rnacentral:rRNA from 1 species